rnacentral:tRNA from 1 species
AGGGAUGUGGUGCAUCUUGGUAGCGCAUUUUUUUUUGGGUAUAAAAUAUCACGGGUUCAAAUCUUGUCAUCCCUA